rnacentral:rRNA from 1 species
AUUGAACGCUGGCGGCAGGCCUAACACAUGCAAGUCGAACGAGUGGCGGACGGGUGAGUAAUGUCUGGGAAACUGCCAGAGGGAGGGGGAUAACUACUGGAAACGGUAGCUAAUACCGCAUACCAUCAGAUGUGCCCAGAUGGGAUUAGUUAGUAGGUGGGGUAAAGGAUAACCAAGGCGCCGAUCCCUAGCUGGGCUGAGAGGAUGACCAGCCAAACUGGAACUGAGACACGGUCCAGACUCCUAGGGGAGGCAGCAGUGGGGAAUAUUGCACAAUGGGCGCAAGCCUGAUGCAGCCAUGCCGCGUGUAUGAAGAAGGCCUUCGGGUUGUAAAGUACUUUCAGCGAGGAGGCGUUACUCGCAGAAGAAGCACCGGCUAACUCCGUGCCAGCAGCCGCGGUAAUAC